rnacentral:misc_RNA from 1 species
AAGUCGUAACAAGGUUUCCGUAGGUGAACCUGCGGAAGGAUCAUUAACACGUAUCCAACGUUAAACAACCCCGUGAACCUUCAGCCUGCUCUCGUAGCCCACGCGGCAACAGCAAUCCCGGUAAAUCAUUGACGACCAGUUUUGAUUCAGGGACCUCUGCCGAUGAGAAGUUACAGUUACGCUCGUAGCGAUUGCAUCAAGCGACUCGGCACCCCCAAGCAGUCAUUGUUCUGAAAGUGUCUUUGAUUGUGCAAGGGUGGCGCAAACACGAUCGCUGGAGGCCGACACGGCCGGCGACCGGGUCCCUGGGCCACCAUGCCCCUUUAUCACCCCUCUGUAAAAAUCACUGGUCGCGAUAAUACGCUGACCAUUUAAAAACCGAACAACUGUUAACAAUGGAUAUCUUGGUUCUC